rnacentral:rRNA from 1 species
AGCGAACGCUGGCGGCAGGCUUAACACAUGCAAGUCGAACGCCCCGCAAGGGGAGUGGCAGACGGGUGAGUAACACGUGGGAACGUACCCUUUGGUUCGGAAUAACUUGGGGAAACUCAAGCUAAUACCGGAUAAGCCCUUAUGGGGAAAGGUUUACUGCCGAAGGAUCGGCCCGCGUCUGAUUAGCUAGUUGGUGAGGUAACGGCUCACCAAGGCGACGAUCAGUAGCUGGUCUGAGAGGAUGAUCAGCCACACUGGGACUGAGACACGGCCCAGACUCCUACGGGAGGCAGCAGUGGGGAAUAUUGGACAAUGGGGGCAACCCUGAUCCAGCCAUGCCGCGUGAGUGAUGAAGGCCUUAGGGUUGUAAAGCUCUUUUACCCGGGACGAUAAUGACUGUACCGGGAGAAUAAGCCCCGGCUAACUUCGUGCCAGCAGCCGCGGUAA